GAUAUUUUUGGUUAUUAGCAACAGAAUGCUAUCACUAUAAAAUUAAAUUAUUAUUAGCGAUGGCUUUAGCGAUAUAAUUUAGUUAUCACUAAUAAUCUACCCUAAAAACCCCCUAGGUCUACGAUGGGCUCGAUUCUAUCAGCCACCAUCUCUCCUCCCCUCCCCCACCUCUGAUCCCCACUUCCCCCGUCCCACCACUGGAGCCCCCAAACUCCUCCCCCCAACCCCCACA
rnacentral:lncRNA from 1 species